GGGAUGUAGCUCAGUUGUGGAGUGCUUGCCUAAUGUGUGUGAGGCCCUGGGUUCAAUCCCCUGUAUCACA
rnacentral:tRNA from 1 species